UAUGGUCCUUUGCUUAUAUUUCUUCUUCUUUUCCUUCAGAGCAAAGAAACAUUCAGAAGAACGUGAAUUUCAAUCUGUAUUUGGGCACUAGAAGUCGAGUAGACAUUUCUCAUCCCUGGCCUGAGGCUGCAGGAUUUGAUGUAAGCCCAGAGACAGCAGCACAGGGCUAGCUGUGUACCACACCUCUGUCAGAUGGGAAGAGAUCCCAGUCUGAGACAGACUAAUCUCUCCUGCCCUUCUCAGCCGUUCCUGGACACUGCCAGCCAGUUCUGCAGUUCCUGCUUGCUGCAGCAGCAUAAUCUGUGCUCUAGGCUGCAGCAGCACAGCUCUAAGUGUGUGGUUCAGAGAGUCCCCAUCUUGCCUUGUCAGUGCUCCCUGCUGUGAAUCUCCCCCAGAGGCACUUGCACCUUGAGGCUUGUGUUUUGGAAGGGAGAAGGAGUGAGAGUAUUGACUUUUCUUAACACCAUCAGGAAGCAAAGGCAGCUGGUAGCUGCUGCAUGCCCACUGCUCACCAUCACUGUUCAGAAAGAAGGAACAAGAAUUGUGACUAUCUGGUGGAAAACCAACAGCAUCAGCCUUCUGCUGCUUCUUGUAUGGAUCCUGUGAACCCUUCACUGGUCAAUGCACAUUUGUCAUCCCAUGCUGCAGAUUCCCCUCUUGGGCAUGAAGUGGUGGGUCCUUCUUUAAGGAGCCCAAGUAAAAGUGUGAACUCUUGUCACAGUUCAGCCCUGGGGAAUCUCAAUCCAUCUAAUUUGGAGUCUUUUAAGUGUCUUUCGCAAUCCUCACAGAUUUCUGCUAGCUUGUACUGUUCAGUCCAGAGGCUUAAGCAAGAAACUGCUUUGAUGGGGCUACGGGCUUCCCUCCCUCUGGAGCCCGAGUCUUCUCCAGCCAGUGGCCAUUCAUGCUUUGCUCCUGAUAAUUUAGGUCCCAGUAUCCUGACCAUGGGAGAACAGCUAGCUGCAGUAAAAACCAGUGCUGCUCAGGCAAGAUUGAAAUGGGGUGUCCCAUUUGCUAAAGACUGGAGCCUUAGUGCAGUGACAAGGAACCUCAGUCCUGCUGAGCCUUUCUCUGUCUCUCACAGAUAUGGUUACAUUGGCUCAAACACAUGGAGAACCAUCAUUUCAGGUGGCAUCCAACCACAAACCCUUGCUUCUGGAGUGGGCUCUGGCAGGCUAGUGGAUACAGAAGCAGAUUCUUCCUUCAAUUGCUCCCCUUUCUUCAGAUGCCAGUCCCUGGUAAAGCCAUCUCUGGAAACUGGAAGUCUUUAUGUUCACAGAAAAAGUCAUUCUCCUGGAAAGGUUGUUAAAGGAGAACAGACAUCUAAUGGGGCAUCUCCAUGUGUUGAGUCUUGUAAGAAAGACAUUUCAGCCAGACCAGAUCCAGAGGGUCUGCAGGUGUUACUGGAGACAGAUUUGGGGGGGGCUCAGAUGAAUGUUGGUGUAGCCAUGUGUGGGACUCCUACAGAAGUGUGUGUGAGCAUCACUUCUCACCCUGGCGAUAAAGAGCUUAGACCAGGCCAGCAGCUUAGUGUUAAAUCUGUAGAAGUCAACAAGUCUCAUAUUAAGUGCAGCAAAGAGUCAGAAGAGGUGUGUGACUCCAGAUCACGAGCAGCCAGAAGAAUGGCUGCAGUGGACAGCAGCCAGUCCAAUCCUUUGGGUACACCAGCUGAAGAAAGCUUUAAUGAACAUUCUGAUGUAGAUUGUAUGAACAUGAGCAGAGAAAGAAGGAGAAACAAAUACUCCUACCAAAGCAGCCGGAGGAAUUUGGAAGCUGAUGGCAAUCUCAAGCAGUCUGAAGAAUGUUCUGUAGAAAGGAAUGCCAAAGAACCACGGUGCUGUGAAGAAGGGAGCCAGACACAGAAAACUGUGCCCAGAGAGAUCUCAGAAAACAGCUCCUGGUCAUUGAAGGUGAAUGAGCAAAGUUUCUGGCACUUGUGUGACAAACAAAUCCUAACAAGGUGUUUCCAAGCCUGGAGGAGACAUAUCCUUUGGAAGAGGGCAGCCAGGCAGCUUUACAGACACCAGCUGCUUCAGAAGGGCUUUGGUGCUCUGCAGUGGACUGUGCACCAAAGGAGGACACAAUUGGAGGUGGCCCAGCAGAGAUAUGCUUCAACUCUGCUAGCUGCCAGCUUCCAGAAGUGGAAAGAAGCUGUGGCAAAACAGAGCAAGAAGAAAGCUCUGCAGCCUGAGCCUUACUCCUUUACCCAAAGUUCAUCAGCAGGGAUUUUUGGAGUAGGAAGAUCAGCAACUAUGACAACUUCAGCUCAGCAUCAGCUUGGAACAGGAUACUCAAAGGAAGCAGAGCAGGCUCGUAGGGUGGAGGGAGAGCUGUGGACACAGCUUUGUCAUAGGCAGAGAGCAGCUGAGUUUUGCUGGAGAGCUGAAGCAAUCAGAGACAUGAGACGCCUGGCUGCUUUCAGACUGUGGCGCCUGCAGAAGGAGCUGCUGAGCAAAGAGGAAGCCAGGCUUUUGGAAGCCCGGGCUCUGCUGGAAAAAAAGAAGUUACGAAACAUUUUCUGGAUGUGGCAUUCCCGAAGCUUGGAAAUGAAACAGGUUCUAACACUGACAGCUCAAAUCGAAAGGAACUUGGUCUCCUGGUGCUUCUGUACAUGGAAGGAGACUGUUGAGCAGAAGGCACUUGACAGGUGCAACCUGGCCCAUCUCAGAGCAGUAUCACUGAGGAAACACUUCCAGCAGUGGGUUGAGAUGCUGCAGGUCAGAGGAGGUGAUAAGCAGGCAGUGGUGAACCUCUUCCUGCUACGAUGGAGGCGGCAUUAUGGAGCAGUUAUAAGCUCAGUAGCUGACAAGACUGUGACAAAGAGGCAUGAAGGUCAGACAUCAUGGACUGGAGAGAGACAGAUUCUGGAGAAAACAGUCUACUCUUUUGAUGACUUCUGCCAAAAACUGAAGCUGCAGAGAGUAUAUCUGCUGUGGAAAACAAGGCUGUGUGAGCAUCACAAAGCUGAUUCUUUCUCUCAGACUUUGGAGCAGUGUAAACUCAGAAAAACUUUGAAAUUAUGGCACCAAAAGUAUCUCAUGCUGAAGACAAUUGAACAAAGUUCUACGCACUUGCAUAGAGCUGUCUAUGAGGAACCUCUUGCCAUGCUGAUUUCUGAGGAUCUCUCAACAUCAUCUGGCUUUGACAGCAGUGCACCAGCUACUCUGACCUCUCAAAGCUCAUUGGAAAAGGAAUGCAGUCUUAGUGAGAGCAGCCAGCAUGGCUUCUCCUUUCUGACUGCUGAGGAUGUCACCCACAUCUCAUGUCACAGCUCUUUCCUGCACCUCCACCAGUGCACAGAGCUGCCAGCUGAGCUGGGUGGGGAGCUGUGCUUGCAGACCUCCUUCUCUGGAUCUGGAAGAAAUAGGUUUGUGGAGAAUCAGUUCCAGUCUUUGGUGCUGCAGAGUCCAGAUAAUAAUUCCCAGCCUCUCACCAGUUACUCUGCAUGGGAAGAGGGCUGCAGUUCUGACAAGGAGGUGAAGAGUUGCUGGCAGCAAGCAGAGAAAUACUGCCUGCAGAGAUGCUUCCUUGUCUGGUCAGCUCAAACUCGACAUCAUGUGAAGGCCCAGCAGUACUGCAGGCACAUUCAGCUGUCUCGAGCCUUUCACAGCUGGCACCACUGGGUCAUGGAAAAUAAGAACCAAAAAGCAGCAGCAGCCUUAAAAUACAGAGUUCAUUGUUCCCAGAUGGCUUUCAGCCUGUGGAAAACGAGACUGGCCCAGAAAGUGGAAGCUGACCGGAGAUUCAGGUGUCACAUUCACCGGAUGACUGCUGAUGCUCUGUGGCAUUGGCAUUCCUGCUGGCAAAGGAAGCAUGCUCUGAGAGAACUGGAGCAGCAAUGGGCUUGGCACAGCUGCCAGGAGAAGAAGAGGCUGGUCCUGCAGAUAUGGUAUUGCCAAACAAGAAAGCAGAAAUAUGCUGUUUUAUUCUGGGAACGUUUUCUCCUGCACAGGUGCAUUGUCACUUGGGCCCAGGUCACUGCAGGUAGACUGAGGCAGCAUGAAGCCCUCUCUUACUUCAGAAGAGUCAGAGAGCACCGUCUUCUGGUUGUGAGCUUUACAAAGUGGAGGGACAAACUCUUUAGAGCUGAACAAGUGCCAGGAGGGAGAAACCACAAGAGGCAGGAGCCCUCUCCAGGUAAAGCCUGUCACCGCUGGCGAGUGGCUGCAAGAGGACAGCAAGCCCUGCGCCUGGGAUCCGUGGCUACUGUCAAACAAGCCUGCAACUACUGGACGAGAGCAGCUGCCUUUUCGCAGUGCUUACGGCAGCGCAGUACCCUCAUAGGUGUUUGGAAGAGCAGGAAGAUGGCUCUCUCUUGGCCCACGAAAAGCAGCAGAGGCAGAGAAGAAGAUUCAGCAACAACUGGACUUUUCCCCAGUGCCAUUCAGCGCUGGCUGGUGAUCUACAGGAGCCAAAAGAGGUCUGGAAGGCUGCUGGAGAGACCUGAUGUGGUAGGACCCUCUCGUGCACAUGGCAGGAUCCAGGGGAACACAGCAGAGGUGGACUUGGAGGAUUGGGCUAAGAGGUGUCUCGGGAGGAAAUAUCUGAGGUGGUGGCAUCACACAGUGGUACUGCGCCAGUACCAGCAUGACAGGAAACUGCUCUGUCUGGCAAGGGGAUGGCAUCAGUGGAGGGAAGCCAGCAGGGUGGUGAUACUGGCUCAGGUGUUGGACCAGCAACGGCUGAUAGAAAAGGCCUGGAGGGUGUGGAGACAAAGAUAUUUGCAAAGCUGUGUGGUGCAGAAUCUUUUGGAGGAGGAAGCCAGGAGCCUCUUGUGUCAGGUAAGCAUUUAUGCCUUCUUCAAUUCAGUGGUACAAAAAAGCACCCCCAAGGGACAACUGGUGCCCCCUGUAUCUCUCUCCCUGCACAUGCACUUGCUCAGGGAGAAUUUGAAUACAUCAAGGAAUGGGACUUGCCAGUAA
ensembl:lncRNA chromosome 21 C1orf167 homolog